CCCUGGAGGGUCACCCAAGGAAAGAGUUCGUUCCAAAGACAGGUGCUCCUCUGAGUUCCUCUGGAAUCUGGCAAGGUGCCGAGCUUGGACGCAAGGCUUCCAAGAGGCUGUGAAGGAGGUUGCAUGGAAAGAACCUGGUGUGGAGGGCCAGGAGAGGCUUCGGGACUGAAGGGCAGAGCAGCAGACUCUGGGGCUCAUAUAGGAGCAUGCCUUCAGCCAAAGAUUAUCCACGCUGCAUGGAGACUCUUGCUAAAUAUCACUGGGGGUAAGACUGAAGAAAAGAAAUAAACUAUGCUACCUGCUCUCAAUAA
rnacentral:lncRNA from 1 species